CCCUAUUAUUGGAAAAUGUAAAAUUUUUUACUAAAAAUUAUUAAUAGUUAAGGACUUUAAAAGUUAAAGAUUUGGCGGUAUUUUAGUCUUUUCAGAGGAACCUGUUUUUUAAUCGAUAAUCCACGAUUAUUUGUACUUUAUUUUUAAAAUUUAUAAUCGUCGUAUGAUAAAUAUUUUAUUAGAAAUUUAAUGUUUAUGAUUUUUUAUUUGAUAGUAAUUCAGAUCAAGGUGUAGUUUAUAGUGAAGCAAAAAUGGGUUACAAUAAUUUUAUUUGUAGUUUUUCUUGUUUAAAACUUGAAGAUAAAAUGGAUU
rnacentral:rRNA from 1 species